GUGCCAGCCGCCGCGGUAAUACAGAGGGGGCUAGCGUUAUUCGGAAUUAUUGGGCGUAAAGGGCGCGUAGGCGGCCUGAUGUGUCCACGGUGAAAUCCCUCGGCUCAACCGAGGAACUGCCGUGGAAACUGUCGGGCUCGAGGCCGGGAGAGGGUGGUGGAAUUCCCAGUGUAGCGGUGAAAUGCGUAGAUAUUGGGAGGAACACCAGUGGCGAAGGCGGCCACCUGGACCGGUUCUGACGCUGAGGCGCGAAAGCGUGGGGAGCAAACAGGAUUAGAAACCCCGGUAGUCC
rnacentral:rRNA from 1 species